UCUGCAUUGGCCUUUGAGAAUCUGGUAAAUUCAAAGAUAAAAUUAUACCAGUUUCUACCAAGAUUGUGGAUCCAAAAACCGGAGAGGAGAAGCAAAUUAUAGUUUCGGCUGAUGAUGGUAUCCGGCCUAACUCAACUUUGAUGGAUCUAGCAAAGCUAAAGCCUGCAUUCCAGAAAGAUGGUUCAACAACAGCAGGCAAUGCUAGCCAAGUUAGUGAUUGUGCCGCUCCCUCUCCGCCUCGUCUCCUCG